AUCGCUUCUCGGCCUUUUGGCUAAGAUCAAGUGUAGUAUCUGGAUUCCAGGAGUCGAGCACAAUAGUAAAAACACCAAAC
ensembl:snRNA LOC120096428 U2 spliceosomal RNA